GUUUACAGCAUCUCCUUGGGUUUUGUGCAGGGCUAUUGUUCUGCUGAUCAGAUCCUUUUGUUUUAGCAGUGAGAUCUUUAGCAUUCUUUACUGCAGUUUUUAGAUUAUUGUUUUCAACUGGGAUUGCCACUUGCUCCUCUGCUUUGAAGAUGGCUGGGUAAAAGAUUGCAUUGCCACAGCUCUUACCACGCUGCAGUUUCCAGGCUGGACUAAGAGCGACUAUGAAGCUCAGGAGUGACAUUCUGAUAUAAAGGUUUCAGAGUAGCAGCCGUGUUAGUCUGUAUUCGCAAAAAGAACAGGAGGACUUGUGGCACCUUAGAGACUAACCAAUUUUUUUGAGCAACAAGUACUCCUUUUCGUUCUGCUAUAAAGUAAUUGUUUUAUCUCUGAUGUGCGAAUCUUUUAUUUUCAUUGCAGCAAACAAAGGAAAUCCUUAUUUCAGAAACUGUUCAGAUGAAUCCAGGUGAUGUGGAUGUGAUCCCUGCUUGUGGCCUGCAGCCUGUGUCAUGUUAGCUUCUAAUUUAAAAGGCACAGAGGGAAAUCCUGGCCCUGUUGAAGGCAAUGGCAAAAUUCACAUUGACUUUUUUAAAGCUAGAUUUCCCUGGUACUCUAACUUUCACAGUUGUGAUGGCUGCAAGAGUCGGGUUAAAAGGCGCAGUCAGGGUUUUUGUAGGAAAUCUAAAGCUUGGAAGUUGUUGUGGUGGAGCUAAUUCUCUGCCGCAUUCCUCUGUCCUUCAGAAUAAUUGUUUUCUCGGAGAAGUCAUCUAUUUUUUCAUAUGCUUUAGAUCUCUUCCACAGCUGAGAUUGCUUCUCUGCUUCCCAUAGCUGGUGUGUGAAAGUAUCCACUCAGAAAGAAAACUUGUCCAUAGCCUGUUGUUGAGUGAUUUGGGCUCCAUAAUAACAGCCAGGUUUUUGGUAGUCUCUUUCAUGAUCCCAUUUAUCCUCUUUGCUGUACCCGUGGCCAAGUCUUCAUCUUGGGUCUCACUGAAGGUGUUCAGAUACCCAGGUGAUGGCUGGGGUAUUGGAACUGGAUAGGUAUAGAUCCAUGUCUGCCCCAGUUUUUUUCUCUCCUCAUGUUGCUUUUCUGAUUUAGCCUGUUAUGCCAACAUUUGCUGGACUUCUAAUUUGUUAUUGUUUCCAAGUAAAAUAUUGCUGUUAGAGGGCGUUUAACUGUUGUAGAAGCAGGAUUCAGCUGGCAGUUCAGUGGGAUACGUGCAGCAGGCAACUUGCAUUAUGUUACUCCCCAUUUUCUUGACUUUAGUGGGACUACUUGGAUGUCGCAUAGGAUCAUCUGCACUGGUGUCAUCAGCAAUCACGUAGCGCCCCAUGGCUGCGGUGCCACAAAGCCUUCCUGGGGCCCUUUCCUGACAUCCCAACAAUGCAGUGGACUGAGGCAGUAGCUGACAUUACAAAGCACCAAAAUUGGCAGAGAAGGAUAAAAUGUCGAAAACUGUUAUAUCCACGUGAAAGAAAAAAAUCGUUCGAUGGCAAGAUCUCCAGAGUGGAAACCGUGUCUUCCUAUAUGUGUGUAGAGACCUCAGCACAUUUUAUGUGCCACCAUCAUAUGGAUAAAUAAUAAUUACAAUUCACAGCACACAGAAACAUCAAAACAUCUGGCAUAGAACUUACUGCCAGAGCCCGGAUUUGCCUGCACCCCUUUUUCUACUUUUAGCAGUACUACACCCACCUAGAAGAAGCAAUCCUUGACCAUGCCAUGCAGACCUCUUUACAGGGUGAGAUUACACAUCGUCCUGAUGCAGAAGCAUUGAAAUUCUCUCUGUUCAAGAAAUCCUCAGUUAACUCUAGUGUGCUAUAAAUGGACCUGGUAACUUGUCAACAUCUUUCAUACAAACAUUCCCAACGCAAAAUGACGUCCUUUACCUUAUUUGUUGCCUGCAAUGUAACAGGUACCCAGUCAGUAAACUAUAUUUCCCAUAAGACCUCAGAACAAACUUCACAGAGUAAAAGGGGUGACAGCUACUGGCUUCAUGACCACGCUAAGCUGCUCCAAACUACAAGGAGGACCCCUAGGGUAAGAAGUAGCAUCCAGCCACACUGGCCAUGCUGUUGCAUCAGCAACCCCCAAUUUGCAAACAACAAACUGAAGUAACUUUGAACAAUAGAUAAAAUGUCACACCACAACCCUCUCAUCAGCAAAAUAGCUUCAAUGGGUUUAUUCAUGUACUUAGAGUGAGGCACAUGCAUAAGAACCAUCUUGAAGUGGGACCAUAGCGAACAUUAAUGAUUCACUUAUCGUGGGCUUUGCAGAAGUGAUGAAGAGAUUUAAAUGAGAAAGGGAGAACGUGAUUAAAAUUAUGUGUCUCAGUCAUGCCAUUCGGGCACAGUUGGAGGCCAUGUGGACUUGAUCUACCCAAGGAGGAAGCUCUCCAGCACACACAAGAAGUAUGCCCACUCCUACACCCGUUCCAGGAGAGGCAUUAUAUUUAUUAUUUAUUUCUGUAUGCACAAUACCCUACAUUAGAUAUGCCUCCUCUGGCCUUAAAGAGUUGAUACUCUAACAAGACAAGACAAAGAGACUGAUGGAGGGUAGGGGAAACAGGCACACCACACAAGCAAAGCAGGCAGGUGGUGAUUGGAGAGGCCCUGAUAAUUCAGGCUGAAUAAAAUAAAGAUAUUUAGACGAUGCCUCAGUUAGGCCCCACCACACCAGAACCAGCCCAUUCAUUUAUUUUAGGCAUCAAUGUAGAAGUGGAUCUUCGGGAGUGUAGAGAGAGUAGUGGCCUUGUGAACCAACAUACUUCCCAUGCGCACUCACCAGCUUUGCUGCUGUGUUGUAGGAGGAUUCUGCCUGCUCCAUGUGCCCUUUUGGAUAUCUUGCCACCAGGGCGUAUGUUCAUUGCUCCAAGCUUGCUGUGCUGGGCUGUAAGGAGAGUCAGGACUUUUUCUACCCCUUUUUUUGCAAACUGGCAAAAAAGUCAUGAAGAUGGCAUAAGCUGAAAAGUUACAAGCUGGAGUUGAAUUUCCAUGAGGUUUGGGGGUGUUUGAAUGUGGCAUUUUAGGUUGGACCUUUCUGUAAAUAAAGAUAUUAUAAACCUUGCUUUGUCAGGCAAUAGACUGGCUCCCCAGAAGCCCGUAAGCGUACUGACCAAAAUUUUCAAGACCAGGAGCCUAGUGUGAGGCAAUUAUUAUAGAAAAUUUUGUCCAGUGUUUGUAAGUCUUUCCCCUAAAUUAUAGUGGAAACUCAAUAAAAAAACCCCAAACGCUGUAGGCUGGCAUGACUGGAGUCUCACCAGUCAGUAACAGGGUCCCUUCAGUCCAGUCGUAUAUAUUUAUUAUUGUUAUACAAAAUACUAACAAUUGCAUACACAGAAGCUUUGAGCUUUGCAAGCUGGUGAUAAAACCUCAGUCAUACAGUUCCAUUUUCUCAUUUGCUUGUGGAAUACCUCUUUCCAACAUUAAAAUUAAAAUUGAAAAGACUUUCUCAUUUUGGAAGGAAAAAAGCACUAUUGGCAAGCUCUUCUCACUGGCAAAUUAAUAGAUAAGGUCUAUCCUGCUAAUGCAAAAUCAAGUGAAAGGUAAAAAUUCAAUCUCUUUAUCACAACCAAGUUAUUUUCUAAACUGGGGAAUUAAUAUACAUUGGAAUGUAUAGAGAGGGAUAGGUUCUCUUUCAAAAAGUGUUUUUAAAGUUUGAAGAAUCCAUAACUAAUAUUGAGACUGGACGUUAUGUAUAACUGACAACCUUCUCUUUUACAUUACUUUGCAUUUAUUACAUUUUUAUGGGAGUUUAUGGAGAUUUUCAAGGAAUUAAACUUAUAUUCAUGAUAGCAGCAUGGGGCUGUUUCUAAAUAACAUUUUCACCGUAUUAACUGUUGCCUAGAUAACAGGCAUAUCUCCUCAAGAGCCUUUAUUCUGGUCUAACACUACAGCCUGCAGAUGAAUACAGUCGUCAUAAGACAGCAAGCUAUAUCACUUACCAUUUCAUUAUUGUUCAAAUCAAAAUCCAUACUUUCCAGUUUUCCCUAGCAUUACAGACUGGAUAGGGAAGCUUUAUCAUUCUGCAAAAUAAUCUCUCGUGGCUCCUUCUCAUUGGUAUUAAGAGGAACAGGUAAUCACAUUACACUAAUUUUCAUAUUAAUCAGUACAGUGCAAGAGAGAGUUAAUAGUUUUCAUCUAUGUUCAACCUUGCAACACUGUUUUUUUUGUUUUUGUUUUUUUUGGAGCUACAUUAGCACACCAGAUUUCAUGUCCUAUUCAAUACAUAAACCAGGGUCAAACCAACAGCCCAGCCUUAUACUUUUAAUCAAAAUGGCAAUCUGUCACCAAUUUGUGACUUAGGAUAAUUUUUAAAUAGAUAAAGGUGGAUGCACACUAAAUUUUUAUGGCAAAUAAAAAGGAAAUCUUUCUGCAGCAUGGGAGAAAACUUUGGAGUACUGUACAAAUGCUUGGUGCAUUCUCUAGAACCUAGAAUAUCAGGGUUGGAAGGGACCUCAGGAGGUCAUCUAGUCCAACCCCCUGCUCAAAGCAGGGCCAAUCCCCAAUUUUUGCCAAGAUCCAUAAAUGGCCCCCUCAAGGAUUGA